GACAUGCUGGUGGUAGUGAAGCGAAAGCUGACGACCUUCGGGAGCCAGCACAGGUGCUGCAUGGCUGUCGUCAGCUCGUGCCGUGAGGUGUUGGGUUAAGUCCCCCAACCGAGCGCAACCCCUGUCGCUAGUUAUACUUCUCUAGCGAGACCGCCGGGAUAUACCCGGAGGAAGGUGGGGAUGACGUCAAGUCAGCAUGGCCUUUAUAUCCAGGGCUACACACACGCCACAAUGGCCGGUACAGAGGGUAGCCAAGCCGUGAGGCGGAGCCAAUCCCACAAAGCCGGUCUCAGUUCGGAUUGAAGGCUGCAACCCGCCUUCAUGAAGCUGGAGUUGCUAGUAACCGCAGGUCAGCUAUACUGCGGUGAAUACGUUCCCGGGAUU
rnacentral:rRNA from 1 species